CCCUACUUCACACAUGUGGUUCACUGUUGCGGGGGUUCGUGGAGUUAUGGUAUCUCUUCAACUGUGGAGAAGGCAUUCAGAGACUCAUGCAGGAGCACAAGUUGCUCGCCUGGACAACAUAUUCCUGACACGAAUGCACUGGUCUAAUGUUGGGGGCUUAAGUGGAAUGAUUCUUACUUUAAAGGAAACCGGGCUUCCAAAGUGUGUACUUUCUGGACCUCCACAACUGGAAAAAUACCUCGAAGCAAUCAAAAUAUUUUCUGGUCCAUUGAAAGGAAUAGAACUGGCUGUGCGGCCCCACUCUGCCCCAGAAUACGAGGAUGAAACCAUGACAGUUUACCAGAUCCCCAUACACAGUGAACAGAGGAGGGGAAAGCACCAACCAUGGCAGAGUCCAGAAAGGCCUCUCAGCAGGCUCAGUCCAGAGCGAUCUUCAGACUCCGAGUCAAAUGAAAAUGAGCCACACCUUCCACAUGGUGUUAGCCAGAGAAGAGGGGUCAGGGACUCUUCCCUGGUCGUAGCUUUCAUCUGUAAGCUUCACUUAAAGAGAGGAAACUUCUUGGUGCUCAAAGCAAAGGAGAUGGGCCUCCCAGUUGGGACAGCUGCCAUCGCUCCCAUCAUUGCUGCUGUCAAGGACGGGAAAAGCAUCACUCAUGAAGGAAGAGAGAUUUUGGCUGAAGAGCUGUGUACUCCUCCAGAUCCUGGUGCUGCUUUUGUGGUGGUAGAAUGUCCAGAUGAAAGCUUCAUUCAACCCAUCUGUGAGAAUGCCACCUUUCAGAGGUACCAAGGAAAGGCAGAUGCCCCCGUGGCCUUGGUGGUUCACAUGGCCCCAGAAUCUGUGCUUGUGGA
rnacentral:sRNA from 1 species